UACGUAGGCAGCAAGCGUUGUUCGGAGUUACUGGGCGUAAAGGGUGCGUAGGCGGUUGUUUAAGUUUGGUGUGAAAUCUCCCGGCUCAACUGGGAGGGUGCGCCGAAUACUGAAUGACUAGAGUGCGGGAGAGGAGAGUGGAAUUCCUGGUGUAGCGGUGAAAUGCGUAGAUAUCAGGAGGAACACCGGUGGUGUAGACGGCUCUCUGGACCGUAACUGACGCUGAGGCACGAGAGCGUGGGUAGCAAACAGG
rnacentral:rRNA from 1 species